rfam:[Oscillatoria] sp. PCC 6506, WGS project CACA01000000 data, contig: Contig103
GUCAGUAACCCCGCUCUCGUAGACGGAGCUUGUAUGAGCAAUCAUGGAAGCUGUACUGACCAGACCACCCUGAGCGCAAUCGAAGGGUAGCCGUUAUUUGGGUCAUAACACCUGGGAAUGCGACGCUAGUUCCCCGCUCUGUUAUCUGCAAUUAAACAGUUUUAAGGUCACUGAAACAGUGUUGCAGGUCGAACAAGCCCGAAUAACAAGGUCGAAGCAAACAUCAC